rnacentral:tRNA from 1 species
UGGCUUAGAUGGUAAAGAAUCUGCCUGCAAUGCAGGAGACCCAGGUUCAAUUCCCUGG